rnacentral:rRNA from 1 species
GAUGAACGCUGGCGGCGUGCCUAAUACAUGCAAGUCGAGCGAACGGACGAGAAGCUUGCUUCUCUGAUGUUAGCGGCGGACGGGUGAGUAACACGUGGAUAACCUACCUAUAAGACUGGGAUAACUUCGGGAAACCGUAGCUAAUACCGGAUAAUAUUUUGCACCGCAUGGUUCAAAAGUGAAAGACGGUCUUGCUGUCACUUAUAGAUGGAUCCGCGCUGCAUUAGCUAGUUGUUAAGGUAACGGCUUACCAAGGCAACGAUGCAUAGCCGACCUGAGAGGGUGAUAGGCCACACUGGAACUGAGACACGGUCCAGACGCCUACGGGAGGCAGCAGUAGGGAAUCUUCCGCAAUGGGCGAAAGCAUGACGGAGCAACGCCGCGUGAGUGAUGAAGGUCUUCGGAUCGUAAAACUCUGUUAUGAGGGAAGAACAUAUGUGUAAGUAACUGUGCACAGCUUGACGGUACCUAAUCAGAAAGCCACGGCUAACUACGUG